rnacentral:rRNA from 1 species
UACGGGGGUGGCAAGCGUUGUUCGGAAUUACUGGGCGUAAAGGGCGCGUAGGCGGGGAGGUAAGUCGGGUGCGAAAUCCCUCGGCUCAACCGAGGAACUGCGCCCGAGACUGCCUUUCUUGAGUCCCGGAGAGGAAGGUGGAAUUCCCGGUGUAGCGGUGAAAUGUGUAGAGAUCGGGAGGAACACCGGUGGCGAAGGCGGCCUUCUGGACGGUGACUGACGCUGAGGCGCGAAAGCGUGGGGAGCAAACGGG